rnacentral:rRNA from 1 species
UACGUAGGGGGCAAGCGUUAUCCGGAUUUACUGGGUGUAAAGGGAGCGUAGACGGCAAGGCAAGUCUGAUGUGAAAACCCAGGGCUUAACCCUGGGACUGCAUUGGAAACUGUCUGGCUCGAGUGCCGGAGAGGUAAGCGGAAUUCCUAGUGUAGCGGUGAAAUGCGUAGAUAUUAGGAAGAACACCAGUGGCGAAGGCGGCUUACUGGACGGUAACUGACGUUGAGGCUCGAAAGCGUGGGGAGCAAACAGGAUUAGAUACCCCGGUAGUUGACUGACU